rnacentral:tRNA from 1 species
UUUUGUGUAUUAUAAUAAAUAUUUUUAUUUUCCAAAUAAAAGAUCCUUUUGGUACAAUAA